rnacentral:rRNA from 1 species
UCUGGCGACCGGCGCACGGGUGAGUAACACGUAUCCAACCUGCCCUUUACUCGGGGAUAGCCUUUCGAAAGAAAGAUUAAUACCCGAUAGCAUAAUGAUUCCGCAUGGUUUCAUUAUUAAAGGAUUCCGGUAAAGGAUGGGGAUGCGUUCCAUUAGGUUGUUGGUGAGGUAACGGCGCACCAAGCCUUCGAUGGAUAGGGGUUCUGAGAGGAAGGUCCCCCACAUUGGAACUGAGACACGGUCCAG